rnacentral:lncRNA from 1 species
GAGGUUUGCAUAAAAGGAAUAGAGUAGGGGCCCAAAAACCAGUAAGAUGAGAAAAUAGUGUUUCCUCAGUUCUAGGAUCCAGGGGAAAAAAAAAAAGAAAUAAAAGAGAAAAUACUGUUUCCUGCCACUUAAGAGGAAGGACUCACAUAUCCUACCUUCCAUCAGCCUUGAAGGAGACAAGUGCCCUCUCUCUCACACCCGGUGGCCUUCCCUUCCCCUUUCCCAGAGCCUCCAAGAAGGCCCCUGGCCUGGCCUGAUGCCCACCAUCAGCAGCAAUAGGCACCAAAACCUUUCUCCUUCCUAUCCCUCCCCACCUCCCGAAAGGGCUGGGGACAGCAGGUGUGUCCUUGUUAGUUCCAUCCAGCUCAGCUUUGGCUGGGGAGCUAAUUUCACUGGAGCCAGGCUAAGCAUUAGGGUAAGU